UACGGAGGGUGCAAGCGUUAUCCGGAUUCACUGGGUUUAAAGGGUGCGUAGGUGGCCUGUUAAGUCAGGGGUGAAAGACGGUAGCUCAACUAUCGCAGUGCCCUUGAUACUGAUGGGCUUGAAUAAACUAGAGGUAGGCGGAAUGUGACAAGUAGCGGUGAAAUGCAUAGAUAUGUCACAGAACACCAAUUGCGAAGGCAGCUUACUAUGGUUUUAUUGACACUGAGGCACGAAAGCGUGGGGAUCAAACAGG
rnacentral:rRNA from 1 species